AAAGUUUGAUCCUGGCUCAGGAUGAACRCUAGCGGCAGGCCUAACAYAUGCAAGUCGAGGGGUAACAGGGUAGCAAUAUCGCUGACGACCGGCGCACGGGUGAGUAACGCGUAUGCAACCUUCCUUUAACUGGGGGAUAGCCCGGAGAAAUUCGGAUUAAUACCCCAUAACAUCAUGAAGAGGCAUCUUUUUAUGAUUAAAGCUCCGGCGGUUAAAGAUGGGCAUGCGUGCCAUUAGCUUGUUGGUGAGGUAACGGCUCACCAAGGCUACGAUGGUUAGGGGGUCUGAGAGGAUGAUCCCCCACACUGGUACUGAGACACGGACCAGACUCCUACGGGAGGCAGCAGUGAGGAAUAUUGCACAAUGGGCGAAAGCCUGAUGCAGCAACGCCGCGUGAGGGACGAAGGCCUUCGGGUUGUAAACCUCUUUUCUGGGGGACGAGACAAGGACGGUACCUCAGGAAUAAGUCUCGGCUAACUACGUGCCAGCAGCCGCGGUAAAACGUAGGAGGCGAGCGUUAUCCGGAUUUACUGGGCGUAAAGCGCACGCAGGCGGCUUCGUAAGUCGGAUGUGAAAGCUCCUGGCUUAACUGGGAGAGGCCAUUCGAUACUGCGAGGCUUGAGGUUGGGAGAGGGGUGUGGAAUUCCCGGUGUAGUGGUGGAAUGCGUAGAUAUCGGGAGGAACACCUGUGGCGAAAGCGGCACCCUGGCCCACACCUGACGCUGAGGUGCGAAAGCGUGGGGAGCAAACAGGAUUAGAUACCCUGGUAGUCCACGCUGUAAACGAUGUCAACUGGGUGUCGGUAGUUUUACACUAUCGGUGCCGAAGCAAACGCGUUAAGUUGACCGCCUGGGGACUACGGCCGCAAGGCUAAAACUCAAAGGAAUUGACGGGGCCCGCACAAGCAGCGGGAGCGUGKGGAUUAAUUCGAUGCGACACGAGACCUUACCCGGGCUUUGACAUGAUCGUAGUAUGACGAAAGGGACGAGCUUCGGCAGCGACACAGUGCUGCAUGCUGUCGUCAGCUCGGUCUGAAUGUUGGUAGUCCGCACGAGGCAACCUGAUGCAGUACUKGUUCUGCGGACUGCCGCWCAGCUGAAGAGGUGGGAUGACUCAGAUCACAUGCCUUWAUWUCGGGCC
rnacentral:rRNA from 1 species